AUGUGGGGUGGCAGCCUUGUUCGCGUUCGCGGUAAUUUGCAGCCAUUUUACUUUGAUUUCAUGAUUCGCGCAUUUCACAUUAGGCGCUUAUGCAGCACUUCAACGAUCUCGAGAAAAGCACGCAUCGAGGAAUCGCCGCAUUGAUUAAAAAAGCGCGCCGCAGUAUUGCAGUCGAACUCGAAUAAUUAGCAGCCUGGAGCAAAAAGCGAAGGCAGCGAAAUGGAAUAACAUAGUGGAGAUAGUGCAGAUAGCGGAGAUAGCGGAGAUAGCGGAGACAGCGGAGACAGCGGAGACAGCUGAUACAUCGAUCGAUAAGCUUUGUGCGUAUUCGGUGUUAUAAAACGUAUUCGUUCCGUCGUAUAAUAAAACGCGCGUCGGGAGUGCCGUUAAUGCCGGCCGGGGGUGUCAUAAUAGUUUCGUGCGAGUAUGAAAAGCUGUAUUCUGGCGAAUCAUAUAGACGAACGCACCAUAAAUUUUGAACGCAUGAUAAAUAUUGGGACACGAUCGAACCUCUUUCGACUUCAGGUUUUCUUCUCGACUUUGAGCUCGGCUCGGAGGAGGGAAGGAUCGGUUUUAUAACGGGAUCCCGAUAAAACCGUGGACCCCUUCAGUGUCAGACGUGUCAACAUGCCGGAAAGCAUGGGGUUGCUUAAUUGCAACUAUGAAACAUAAGAUCUGUGGCAUAGAAGUCAACUCAGCGACUUCGUCACUUCCGUUUGUUUGAUACCGAAAUGCUACUGGGACACCACACGCUAUCCGGUUGACCCCAUCAUGAUCAAUCGCAUCUUACUUUCUUCGAGCUUAUGCUCUCUGCUUUGAGAUAAUCGUGUCCCAAUUGGUAAGUGCGAUCGUCUGAAACGCGGAUGGAAUUCGCACGUAACGUCGCAUCUUGGACAAUUUGAUUCGCUUGCGACGUCGGGAGUGCCGUUUGAAGUGAGUUCGCGCGAUUUUCGUAUUCGGGUACGCGCGCGAGCAAGGCGCGCGCCGCGAACGUGUGUGAGUCAAUGUGAGUGUUUCGAUGGACCGCUGGGAGGAGGAGGAGGUCCAGGGGGCAUCAGAUGACGUCAGAGAAACAUUGCUAUCAUUUGAUAUAUACUCUGGAUGCAUCAUAUACUUCGCUGCUGCUUGAUUUGACCGAUCGG